rnacentral:rRNA from 1 species
AACGCUGGCGGCGUGCCUAAUACAUGCAAGUCGAGCGCGUGAAAUUCGCGGAUCUCUUCGGAGUGAUGCGGAUGGAUCGAGCGGCGGACGGGUGAGUAACACGUGGGCAACCUGCCCGUAAGACUGGGAUAACUUCGGGAAACCGAAGCUAAUACCGGAUAGGCUUUCGCACCGCAUGGUGCGAAAGGGAAAGGUGCUUCUGGCAUCACUUACGGAUGGGCCCGCGGCGCAUUAGCUAGUUGGUGAGGUAACGGCUCACCAAGGCGACGAUGCGUAGCCGACCUGAGAGGGUGAUCGGCCACACUGGGACUGAGACACGGCCCAGACUCCUACGGGAGGCAGCAGUAGGGAAUCUUCCGCAAUGGACGAAAGUCUGACGGAGCAACGCCGCGUGAGCGAGGAAGGUCUUCGGAUCGUAAAGCUCUGUUGUCGGAGACGAACAAGCGUCAUAGGAAAUGAUGGCGCCAUGACGGUAUCCGACCAGAAAGCCCCGGCUAACUACGUGCCAGCAGCCGCGGUAAUACGUAGGGGGCGAGCGUUGUCCGGAAUUAUUGGGCGUAAAGCGCGCGCAGGCGGCUCCUUAAGUCUGGUGUGAAAGCCCGCGGCUCAA